CACCGAGUAGGAAGGUUCCGGGGCCCACCGGAAUCUGGUGCGAAAGGGA
rnacentral:sRNA from 20 species